rnacentral:rRNA from 1 species
UACGUAGGGCGCAAGCGUUGUCCGGAAUUAUUGGGCGUAAAGAGCUCGUAGGCGGCUUGUCGCGUCGAUUGUGAAAGCCCGGGGCUUAACUCCGGGUCUGCAGUCGAUACGGGCAGGCUAGAGUGUGGUAGGGGAGAUCGGAAUUCCUGGUGUAGCGGUGAAAUGCGCAGAUAUCAGGAGGAACACCGGUGGCGAAGGCGGAUCUCUGGGCCCAUUACUGACGCUGAGGAGCGAAAGCGUGGGGAGCGAACAGG